GGUGAGAUGGCCGAGCGGUCCAAGGCGCCAGACUAAGGUAUUUUGGAACAGGUACUUGUGUAAUCUGGUCUCUUCGGGGGCGGGAGUUCGAAUCUCCCUCUCAUCA